UCUAUAAAAAGCUUAAUCAACCUAAUCCUUGGGAAUUUUAGUAGUCCAGUUGGUUGGCUACCUGAAUUUUCACCUGUUGGUGAGGGUUAAAUCCCCCAAAAUACUAAGAAAUAAGAAAGAAAAAAAACUAAUCAUUAUCAGUGAUCAAGGUUCACAGGAGCUGGAAAACCAAAGCAAUGAACAAACAUGUCUUGUCAAAUAGCAUGGGGAUGAGAAGGCCAUCAUUGGUUCUCCAGAAGUAUUG
rnacentral:misc_RNA from 1 species